UACGUAGGACCCAAGCGUUGUCCGGAGUCACUGGGCGUAAAGCGCGCGCAGGCGGCAACCUUAGUGUCGUGUGAAAGCCCCCGGCUCAACCGGGGGAGGCCAUGGCAAACUGGGUCGCUCGAGCUGCGGAGAGGCCCCUCGAAUUGCCGGUGUAGCGGUGAAAUGCGUAGAGAUCGGCAGGAAGACCAAGGGGGAAGCCAGGGGGCUGGCCGCAGGCUGACGCUGAGGCGCGACAGCGUGGGGAGCAAACCGG
rnacentral:rRNA from 1 species